rnacentral:rRNA from 1 species
UGGGGAAUAUUGCACAAUGGGCGCAAGCCUGAUGCAGCCAUGCCGCGUGUAUGAAGAAGGCCUUCGGGUUGUAAAGUACUUUCAGCGGGGAGGAAGGGAGUAAAGUUAAUACCUUUGCUCAUUGACGUUACCCGCAGAAGAAGCACCGGCUAACUCCGUGCC